rnacentral:rRNA from 1 species
AACGUAGGUGGCGAGCGUUAUCCGGAUUCACUGGGCGUAAAGCGAGUGCAGGUGGUUUUGUAAGUUGGAUGUGAAAUUUCCCGGCUUAACCGGGAAGGGUCAUUCAAUACUGCAGGACUUGAGGGCAAAAGAGGGGGGUGGAAUUGCCGGUGUAGUGGUGAAAUGCGUAGAUAUCGGCAGGAACACCUGUGGCGAAAGCGGCCCCCUGGUUUGCUCCUGACACUCAGACUCGAAAGCUAGGGUAGCGAACGGG